rnacentral:rRNA from 1 species
CCUACGGGGGGCUGCAGUAACGAAUCUUCCGCAAUGCACGAAAGUGUGACGGAGCGACGCCGCGUGUGGGACGAAGCCCUUCGGGGUGUAAACCACUGUCAGGGGUAGGAUCCGCCCCAGAGGAAGGCACGGCUAACUCUGUGCCAGCAGCCGCGGUAAGACAGAGGUGCCGAGCGUUAGGCGGAAUCACUGGGCUUAAAGCGUGUGUAGGCGGCUCGUUAAGUACCUUGUGAAAUCCCCCGGCUCAACCGGGGAACUGCUGGGUAUACUGGCGAGCUUGAGUGACCCAGGGGCGAGCGGAACAGACGGUGGAGCGGUGAAAUGCGUAGAUAUCGUCUGGAACGCCAAAGGUGAAAACAGCUCGCUGGGGGUCACUGACGCUGAGACACGAAAGCCAGGGGAGCGAACGGGAUUAGAUACCCUUGUAGUC